ACCUGUCUAGCUCAUUGGAAAUAGCAUGUGACUCUUGAUCUCAGGAUUGUGAGUUCAAGCCCCAUGUUGGGUG
rnacentral:tRNA from 1 species